AGAGUUUGAUCCUGGCUCAGGAUGAACGCUAGCGGCAGGCUUANNGAACGGGUGCGUAACGCGUAUAGAAUCUGCCUUGUACAGGAGGAUAGCCUUUAGAAAUGAAGAUUAAUACUCCAUAAUGUUAAUGAUUGGCAUCAGUUAUUAAUUAAACAUUUAUGGGUACAAGAUGACUAUGCGUCCUAUUAGCUAGAUGGUAAGGUAACGGCUUACCAUGGCAACGAUAGGUAGGGGGUCUGAGAGGAUUAUCCCCCACACUGGUACUGAGACACGGACCAGACUCCUACGGGAGGCAGCAGUGAGGAAUAUUGGUCAAUGGAGGCAACUCUGAACCAGCUAUGCCGCGUGCAGGACGACUGCCCUAUGGGUUGUAAACUGCUUUUAUACAGGAAGAAACCGAUCUACGUGUAGAUCCUUGACGGUACUGUAAGAAUAAGGACCGGCUAACUCCGUGCCAGCAGCCGCGGUAAUACGGAGGGUCCAAGCGUUAUCCGGAAUCAUUGGGUUUAAAGGGUCCGCAGGCGGUCAAUUAAGUCAGAGGUGAAAUCCCAUCGCUCAACGAUGGAACUGCCUUUGAUACUGGUUGACUUGAGUUAUACGGAAGUAGAUAGAAUAAGUAGUGUAGCGGUGAAAUGCAUAGAUAUUACUUAGAAUACCGAUUGCGAAGGCAGUCUACUACGUAUAUACUGACGCUCAUGGACGAAAGCGUGGGGAGCGAACAGGAUUAGAUACCCUGGUAGUCCACGCCGUAAACGAUGGAUACUAGUUGUUGGGUUAAUUCUCAGUGACUAAGCGAAAGUGAUAAGUAUCCCACCUGGGGAGUACGGUCGCAAGACUGAAACUCAAAGGAAUUGACGGGGGCCCGCACAAGCGGUGGAGCAUGUGGUUUAAUUCGAUGAUACGCGAGGAACCUUACCAGGGCUUAAAUGUGGUCUGACAGCUUUAGAGAUAGAGUUUUCUUCGGACAGAUCACAAGGUGCUGCAUGGUUGUCGUCAGCUCGUGCCGUGAGGUGUCAGGUUAAGUCCUAUAACGAGCGCAACCCCUGUUGUUAGUUGCCAGCGAGUCAAGUCUGAG
rnacentral:rRNA from 1 species